rnacentral:tRNA from 1 species
GGGGUGUUAGCUCAGUUGGUAGAGCAGCUGACUCUUAAUCAGCGGGUCGAGGGUUCGAACCCCCCACAUCCCA